GUUUGACCUGCUCAAUGAUUAAUUAAAUUGCCGCGGUAUAUUGACCGUGCAAAGGUAGCAUAAUAAUUAGUUUUUUAAUUGGAAGCUGGAAUGAAUGGUUGGACGAGAAAAUGACUGUCUCUGUUUUAUUGUUAGUUGAAUUUAAUUUUUUAGUUAAAAAGCUAAAAUGUUUUUAAAAGACGAGAAGACCCUUUAGAGUUUAAUUAGUGUUGUAUAUAAAUGAGUUGGUAUUUUUUAAGUAUGUUUAAUGUUAAUUUGGUUGGGGUGAUUUUAAGAUUUAAUAAACUCUUUAAGUAAAAUCAAUGAUUUUUGAACAUGUUAUCUAGAUUUUCUAAAUUUAAAAUAAAUUACCUAAGGGAUAACAGCGUAAUUCUUCU
rnacentral:rRNA from 1 species